UCCCAGUUUUCAAGGUUUGUUUGUUAACCGGGUAGAUUUUUAUGUCGGAAGUUAACGUGGAGUAUAUUACCCUAGUAACCCUAAACUUGACCGUUGGAAUUGAUGAAUAUACUUUGUUUUAUAAAUUUUGUAAUGGAUGGAUCAUAGAUGUCUCAAUGACCAUAGAGUAAAAUGUUGGAUGAACUAAAUGACCCUAGUCCCGGAAUGUGAAAGCUA
rnacentral:lncRNA from 1 species